ensembl:lncRNA
AAAAACGUAGCCCUCAUUGUUCUCAGGGCUGCACGCCCUCGCCUGCCCUCUUGCAUUUCUCACGAGCAUCCUAUGCUAAUAAACUCACUCUCUACUUAUUGCCUUGCUUCACACUGAAUUCUUUCUACAUUGAGACAAGAGAACCUGAGCUUCAGUAAGUCCUGAGACCAGCCGUCCUGCUGCUACUGCUGCUGCUAAGUCGUCUCAGUCGUGUCCGAUUCUGUGCGACCCCAGAGAAGGCAGCCCACCAGGCUCCCCCGUCCUGUCCACCUUACUGUAAAUUCUAUAGUCAGGUAAAAAGAGGUUUCCCUCCUUAACAUAUUUUCCUAGACCAUAUUAAAUAACAAACUUAGAGGUGGAAUGGUAUAUAAAGGUGAAUUCUUUCCAAUGACUCCAAAUUUUUGACCAUCUUGGUUUUCCGUGUCUUGAGGUAUAAAAUUUCUCAGACAUUAUAAAUCCUUGAGAAAGUGCUGUAAGGGGUUUGAGAUGCAAAGAGAUUUUCCAGAUUUGCCUGGAGUAUUUUUUAGCUUUUUGCAAAGAAAGAAAAUUCUGUUUAUGACAAAGCACUAGGCAGAAUUUCUGUAAGCCACAAAUCCUUCUGUUACUUGUGUACAUGAAGGCUACACACACACACACACACACGCAUGCAUGCACACAUACCUGCUGAAGUCAUUUAUAAUCUCUCCGACAUGGAAAUAAGGCUUUGAUUUUUGUUUUUGUAAAGCAAAUCUGAAAUUUCUGAAAUAAGUAAGAGCUAUUAUUUCUGGAGUAAUUGUCUAGGGUUGGAUAAAUGUAACCUCUUCCACAUGUCCAAAUACUUCCUGCACUGUCUCUAAUUGUCUUGAUUCUUUCUGGUUGUGAAGUGCCAAGAACUUUUUAGCAGUGUCUAACAGAGCAAAAUCCAAACAAGUCUUUUGUGAAGUAACAUUGUUUUCAAGUGCAAGCAAAGAUUAGAUCUUGUAAGACUUACUCAUCCAUCCACCCAUCGACCCAUCUUCAUCCACUCAUUUAUCCACUCAUCCGUUCACCCAUCCAUCGACCGACACAUGCCAGGCAUGGAGGAGAGUAGAGAUUCAACAACAGACAAAACAGAGCUCAACCCCAACUUCAUAGCGUUUCUUAUGGGAAAGGCUGAUCAUAAACAAGGAAACAAGCAAGUAAAAAC